rnacentral:lncRNA from 1 species
GUUUUGGGACCCUUUUAAAUUUGAUUCGACACUUAAUUUAAGCUCAUUCAUUCACCUGUAGAAAUAGUGUGUAUUCCUAUGCACACCUUAAACAAACACCGUUGCUUCAAUCACGUAACCUGGAGAAUUCACGUUGCGUCUUAGAUUAGAUGCAAAUGUGGUUCUUCAAGAAAGAUCAGACACUGGGCGUGUUUUUUCUCCAAUGUUUACGUUAUGGAACUCAGUUAUGAAACGAAAUAAGGGGCGGGAUCAUUUGAAGUUACAUAACUUUUUUUUCCAUAAUUCAUUGAAUCGUCAGCCUCAAGGUGAACUUGAAAGGGGAAAAUGAGGAACUUUGACCAUAUUUUCAACUGACACGUGCUGAGGGCCCAUAAAUGCCCCAGUUGCACAAGGAGAUGUGACAUAAAAGCCCCUCCUUGGUCAUUCAUACCAAGCGUCAGUGAAGAGCGCACACAAAACGGUAAGCCGAAGGCAAAUUUAUGUUCGUACCAGUGCCACUGUACAAAACUACUGCUAAAUAUAACAUUUCUGUUUUUUAAUUAUUGCAUUUUAGGUUAUAUCGGCUGCAUUUUAGGCAUUGAGAAUGGCGAAACACAGUAAAAGCCUUUUGUUCGCCAUAAUGACGGCAGUGGUCUUCUUCAUCGUCGCCAUGGUCUUCAGCGCCCUGGCAGCUCAAGGGAAGCAUCCCUUCCUGGAGCCUACUGGCAACGUUUCAGAUGCCUUUGCCAAUGAGAUCACACCCUCAGGAUGGACCUUCAUCAUAUGGACCAUCAUUUACAUCUUCCUGGCAUUAGUGUGUGUCUACACGCUGGCUGGAUUAUUUAGGAAGAACGCUUAUGGUUACGUCUACUGCAGCCCUGCCAUUCUACCACAUGGGUUCUUUGUGGCCUGGUGCUUGAACCUGGGUCUCAAUGUUGGAUGGUUGUUCCUAUGGGACAGGAGGUUGAUGGCUGGAGCUCUGGUCUUCCUCAUCUUAGUUGCUUUGACCAACUACGUGAUGAUUUUCUACUCCUGCCACAGUCUCCACAUUUACGGCGCGUGGCUCAGCAAGUACCACAAAGUCGACCUGUGGCUCCACCGUGCGCUGGUUCAGAACGGCAUCGCCAUAUAUGCAACCUGGACAACUGUUGCCUCUCUGGUUAAUUUGAGCAUUGUGCUGGUCAAAGACGCAAAAAUGUCCCCAGAAGACGCGGUCACUCUUUCUUUCUCUCUUCUCACCGUGGUCUUGCUUGUUUGGUUCGUCCUGGAGAAUUCUCUCCUGGACAAAUACCUGAGGCACAUCCUCUCCAUUUACCCCGCUGUCAUCUGGGCCCUGACGGGGGUGUUCACCAAGAACUACAACACCGCACAGCCCACCCGCAAUAACGUCUUCAACGUUGCUCUGUUGGGCGUCAGCUGCACCUUGCUGGCCCUGCGCUUGGUUUUGGUCAUCUGGAAGAACAUGAAAAGGCCGCUGUUAGAAGACGCCAGCCCAGAGGUCAUGUCUCCAAUGGAGAUCGCCGAGAGACAGAAAAAGAUAUAUAUAUGAGAAUGUUGGAGUUUUGGUCAAGAUUAGGUGUUUUUUUUUUUGACAACGGUGAAGAGGUUUUAUCGUUUAUGUAGCAGUAAACUUGUGUUUUUCAUUUUCAAGUGUUCUCUAGAACAUGAAUGCUAUUGUGUUGGGUAAUUUUGGGCAAACAGCAAUCAAAUGAUGAAUGCUUGUUUCAAAUUUAAGAAAAGGAGACAAAAACUAAAUUAUGGUGGUUUGAAAAUCUCCCAAAUGUGUGUUUAUCAUUAAAAAUCCCUUGAAUGGUGGAAAUGUCAGGUUCAGAUAAAAUGUGAGAUUUCUAAUUAUUAAAGUUUUUUCUCUCAAUAAAACACAAAACACUCAUGUGAAUAAGUGUUGUUUCUUGGUUUUAGUCUCUCCACACUGUUUCUUUUCCUGUUUUACGUUCUAAUAAAAAGAGAAAAAAG